UUUUCUUCAUCCUCAUUCCAAACAUCAUCAAAUACAAUAAGAAACCUCUUAUUGUGUAAGAUAUGCCAAAACUUGGACUGGAUUACAUCCAUCUCUGAUCUUCUCCACAUCAAAAGUUUGAGAAACAAAAAGCCACAAUCUCAAAUCAAAGUGUUUAACCACCUUAUCAUCGAAAUAUGCCAACUGGGCAAGAGUAGUCUUACCCAUGCCUCCAAUGCCAACUAUAGAAACUGCUGGAAGGAAGGUUUCCUUCCACAUCAACAUUUAAUAGCAACUCUACAAUCCUUUCCUUAUCCUUGCCCCUUCCAAAUACUUCAGAUUCAACAACAAAAGAUCCAGUAGCCGGUUCUUCAUCCAAAACCACGUUAGCACCAUGAACAGCUUCUUUCAGAUUCAGAUAUGGAUCUGAGUGACAACCAUUUCUUAGGCAUGUCGUAUUUUUCUUCCAGUAGCAGAUAGGGGUGUGCUUUGUUUGUGAAGUCUUCAAGAAAGUCAACUGCUUGGUCAACUGUAUCUUUGAGCUGCGAAAUCCAUAUUCUAACAACUUUGUCGGUAACUUGUCGCCUUUCAGCAUUUUCGACAACAGCUUGGAUCAUGGGGAGGAUCUGUUCUAUCCUCAUAAGGCCACAUUUUUGACCAAGUGUUUGAAGCAGAGGAGAAGCCAGCUUUUCAAAGAUCACCUGCAGAAGUGGAGGUAAUACCAAUUCUGCCAUAGUUUUGUUUCUUACUUUAUUGAUGGAAUCAGAACAACUGGCACCACAGCAGAAGUUUAAUGCAGUCUUCUUCUCCCAAUUGUAAUUA
rnacentral:lncRNA from 1 species